AUUGCUGCGGUUAAAAAGCUCGUAGUUGGAUCUGCGUCUCAGGACCUGGUCCAUCCAUUGGAUGAGAACUGGGCUCCUAGGCUAAUAUUGCCAGUUUUCCCUAUGUUACCUUGAUCGGUUGCGUAGGGUGGCCAGCAAGUUUACCUUGAAAAAAUUAGAGUGCUCAAUGCGGGCUAAUGCCUGAAUACUCGUGCAUGGAAUAAUGAAAUAGGAUCUCGGUUCUAUUUUGUUGGUUUUCUGAUCUGAGAUAAUGGUUAAGAGGGACGGACGGGGGCAUUCGUAUCGCUGCGUGAGAGGUGAAAUUCUUGGACCGUAGCGAGACGUCCAACUGCGAAAGCAUUUGCCAAGAAUGUCUUCAUUAAUCAAGAACGAAAGUCAGAGGUUCGAAGGCGAUCAGAUACCGCCCUAGUUCUGACCGUAAACGAUACCAACUAGCGUUCCGUCGGCGGUAAAUACGCCUUGACGGGCAGCUUCCCGGAAACGAAAGUUUUUCGGUUCCGGGGGAAGUAUGGUUGCAAAGCUGAAACUUAAAGAAAUUGACGGAAGGGCACCACCAGGAGUGGAGCCUGCGGCUUAAUUUGACUCAACACGGGAAAACUCACCUGGCCCGGACACCGUGAGGAUUGACAGAUUGAGAGCUCUUUCAUGAUUCGGUGGUUGGUGGUGCAUGGCCGUUCUUAGUUGGUGGAGUGAUUUGUCUGGUUUAUUCCGAUAACGAGCGAGACUCUAGCCUACUAAA
rnacentral:rRNA from 1 species